GAGAGUUAAAUAGUACGUGAAAUUGUUGAAAGGGAAACGAUUGAAGUCAGUCAUGCUAGUGAAAAAUCAGUUUGGCGGGUUUUGAGUUCGGGAGUAGAGGCAGGGUCAAACCGUCUCUCUUUUUGGACUUGGGAUUUGUCGGACGUACUUUUUCUUUGGCAGGUCAGCGUCGGUUUCGGAGGUUGUAAAAUACUUGGGGGAAAGUAGCUCUGCUUCGGGAGAGUGUUAUAGACCCUGGGGGAUGCAGCCUGUGGGAUCGAGGAUUGCAGCAAAUGCCUUUGGCUUGUCGCCUGAUCUCUGGAUGUUACCUCUCUUGUGACAACAUUCUUGCCACCGGGGAGUACUGAUGCCCAUUAGGUUAGAACGAUCAAAAAUUUGCUAAGGAUGCUGACGUAAUGGCUUUAAACGA
rnacentral:rRNA from 1 species